GUAAAAUUAUAUAAUUGAGAUGAAACAAAAAAAAUAAAAAUCAAAGCAACCAAUCAAAAUAUAAUACUUGUCACACUUAUCUUCUCUCUUCUACUUUCACGGGUGUUGAUAUUUAUCAACACUAACUUUGCCAUGUCUCACCUAGUUUUUUAUUACAACACACUAUUAUAGUGGAAAUAUUUUUUCGCCAGUUGUAAAAUGGUUUACAACAAACCAUUGUUUUAGUCUUACGAGAAGUCACGUCAGCACUCUCCCCAAAGUUCUAAAAAUCUCUCUUCUAAGUGCCAUGUGGCAUAAGACAAAUGUCAAUUCCACCUCAUCUGAGAUUGAACGCGUCCUCUUCUUCAGGAAAGUUCUUUGGAGUUGUGUUCCAUUCAGGCUAGAGUAUCAAUUAAACUUUUUUUUCAUUUGCAACAAUGGGAAGGCCAAGUAGUCAUUAAUCUUCAUGACAUGCAAAUUCAAAAACCUUUAACCUAUAUUUGUCACAAACUAGAUAACAACCCGUACUAUAUGCGAGAUAAAACUAUUCAUGUAAAUUAUUAU
rnacentral:sRNA from 1 species